rnacentral:rRNA from 1 species
UACGUAGGGGGCAAGCGUUGUCCGGAAUCAUUGGGCGUAAAGAGCGUGUAGGCGGCUCGGUAAGUCCGCUGUGAAAGUCCAGGGCUCAACCCUGGGAUGCCGGUGGAUACUGUCGGGCUCGAGUCCGGAAGAGGAGUGUGGAAUUCCUGGUGUAGCGGUGAAAUGCGCAGAUAUCAGGAGGAACACCGGUGGCGAAGGCGGGUCUCUGGGCCGAUACUGACGCUGAGGAGCGAAAGCGUGGGGAGCGAACAGG